UUACGGCCAUAUCACGUUGAAACACCGGUUCACUGUACGAUCACCAAAGUUAAGCAACGUCGAGCCUGGUCUGUUCCUAGAGGUGUGACCGCUUGGGAAUACCAGGUGCUGUAAG
rnacentral:rRNA from 1 species